CUGGCUCAGGCUGGAGCACUCCUUAUAUGUUUAGUUAUGAUUAGUGGCGGACGGGUGAGUAACAUUUAGGAAUCUGCCUAGUAGUGGGGGAUAGCUCGGGGAAACUCGAAUUAAUACCGCAUACGACCUACGGGUGAAAGGGGGCGCAAGCUCUUGCUAUUAGAUGAGCCUAAAUCAGAUUAGCUAGUUGGUGGGGUAAAGGCCCACCAAGGCGACGAUCUGUAACUGGUCUGAGAGGAUGAUCAGUCACACCGGAACUGAGACACGGUCCGGACUCCUACGGGAGGCAGCAGUGGGGAAUAUUGGACAAUGGGGGCAACCCUGAUCCAGCCAUGCCGCGUGUGUGAAGAAGGCCUUUUGGUUGUAAAGCACUUUAAGCAGGGAGGAGAGGCUAAUGGUUAAUACCCAUUAGAUUAGACGUUACCUGCAGAAUAAGCACCGGCUAACUCUGUGCCAGCAGCCGCGGUAAUACAGAGGGUGCGAGCGUUAAUCGGAAUUACUGGGCGUAAAGCGAGUGUAGGUGGCUCAUUAAGUCACAUGUGAAAUCCCCGGGCUUAACCUGGGAACUGCAUGUGAUACUGGUGGUGCUAGAAUAUGUGAGAGGGAAGUAGAAUUCCAGGUGUAGCGGUGAAAUGCGUAGAGAUCUGGAGGAAUACCGAUGGCGAAGGCAGCUUCCUGGCAUAAUAUUGACACUGAGAUUCGAAAGCGUGGGUAGCAAACAGGAUUAGAUACCCUGGUAGUCCACGCCGUAAACGAUGUCUACUAGCCGUUGGGGUCCUUGAGACUUUAGUGGCGCAGUUAACGCGAUAAGUAGACCGCCUGGGGAGUACGGCGCAAGGUUAAAACUCAAAUGAAUUGACGGGGGCCCGCACAAGCGGUGGAGCAUGUGGUUUAAUUCGAUGCAACGCGAAGAACCUUACCUGGUCUUGACAUAGUGAGAAUCCUGCAGAGAUGCGGGAGUGCCUUCGGGAAUUCACAUACAGGUGCUGCAUGGCUGUCGUCAGCUCGUGUCGUGAGAUG
rnacentral:rRNA from 1 species